CCUACGGGUGGCAGCAGUGGGGAAUAUUGGGCAAUGGAGGCAACUCUGACCCAGCAACGCCGCGUGCAUGAUGAAGGUCUUCGGAUUGUAAAGUUCUUUUCUAAGGGAAGAAGAUAGUGACGGUACCUUAGGAAUAAGCCUCGGCUAACUACGUGCCAGCAGCCGCGGUAAUACGUAGGAGGCAAGCGUUAUCCGGAAUGACUGGGCGUAAAGGGUGCGACGGUGGUUUGACAAGUUGGUAGCGUAACUCCGGGGCUCAAAUUCGGAACUACUACCAAAACUGUUGGACUCGAGUGCAGGAGGGGCAACUGGAAUUUAUAGUGUAGCGGUGGAAUGCGUAGAUAUUAGGAAGAACACCGGUGGCGAAGGCGAGUUGCUGGACUGUAACUGACACUGAGGCACGAAAGCGUGGGGAGCAAACAGGAUUAGAUACCCGGGUAGUC
rnacentral:rRNA from 1 species